GUUUUAAUAGUUUAACCUAAAACUUUGGUCUUGUAAACCAAUAAUGAAUUUAUUUUUCUUAAAACU
rnacentral:tRNA from 1 species